rnacentral:rRNA from 1 species
AACGAACGCUGGCGGCAUGCCUAACACAUGCAAGUCGAACGAGACCUUCGGGUCUAGUGGCGCACGGGUGCGUAACGCGUGGGAACCUGCCCUUAGGUUCGGAAUAACUCCCCGAAAGGGGUGCUAAUACCGGAUAAUGCCUUCGGACCAAAGAUUUAUCGCCUUUGGAUGGGCCCGCGUUGGUUUAGCUAGUUGGUAGGGUAAAAGCCUACCAAGGCGACGAUCCAUAGCUGGUCUGAGAGGAUGAUCAGCCACACUGGGACUGAGACACGGCCCAGACUCCUACGGGAGGCAGCAGUGGGGAAUAUUGGACAAUGGGCGAAAGCCUGAUCCAGCAAUGCCGCGUGAGUGAUGAAGGCCUUAGGGUUGUAAAGCUCUUUUACCCGGGAUGAUAAGGACGGUACCGGGAGAAUAAGCUCCGGCUAACUCCGU